GUGGGGAAUAUUGGACAAUGGGCGAAAGCCUGAUCCAGCCAUGCCGCGUGUGUGAAGAAGGUCUUCGGAUUGUAAAGCACUUUAAGUUGGGAGGAAGGGCAGUAAGUUAAUACCUUGCUGUUUUGACGUUACCGACAGAAUAAGCACCGGCUAACUUCGUGCCAGCAGCCGCGGUAAUACGAAGGGUGCAAGCGUUAAUCGGAAUUACUGGGCGUAAAGCGCGCGUAGGUGGUUCAGCAAGUUGAAGGUGAAAUCCCCGGGCUCAACCUGGGAACUGCCUCCAAAACUACUGAGCUAGAGUACGGUAGAGGGUAGUGGAAUUUCCUGUGUAGCGGUGAAAUGCGUAGAUAUAGGAAGGAACACCAGUGGCGAAGGCGACUACCUGGACUGAUACUGACACUGAGGUGCGAAAGUGUGGGGAGCAAACAGGAUUAGAAACCCUUGUAGUCC
rnacentral:rRNA from 1 species